GUUCUGAGUGGCUCAGUCAGUAGAACGCAAGACUUUUAAUCUCAAGAGUCAAGGGUUCGAAUCCCACAUUGAGCA